rnacentral:tRNA from 1 species
GCACGGAUAGCUCAGCGGUAGAGCGGCUCGUUUACACCGAGUUGGUCGGGGGUUCAAAUCCCUCUCCGUGUA